ACUUGAGUUAGCUCUUCACCUUGAUCUUGGUAUUAAUGAAGAUCAUUGAUUUAUCGUGAUGGGAGGUCUACUGCCAAAGCCAGGUGGUCUCUAGUGAGUGCCACAGUCAAGGAUACCCACUUGGCACAGUGCAGACUCAGAGGAAGAAAGUGGAGUAUGGAAUAGAACAAGGCCAGCUGCCAGGCUCCCCGUGACCACUGGUUUCCAAGGCAUGAGUUGUGCUUGUUAAAAAUACAGAUUCCUCGGCCCAAAUUCCAAAGAUCUUGUUUUAGUAGCAAACCUGCGGUGGAAUGUAAGCCUGGAGGUCUUGCCUCCGUUUCACAGAUUGGUAGGCCAAGGCAAGCCAAGUUAAGGGAUUGACCAAGGGAGUUACCCAGAUCCGCAAAGCCCAGAAAGGGCGGCCCUGCAUGCAGUUCCCAGAGGGAUGGGAGCAAAUUCGGAACACGGGGAGGCUGUAGGUGGUUAGCUUCCUGCCUCAGCAAAGCAGAAAGAACCUGGCUGGCUUCAGCCUGGAGAAGCAGCAGCAGCAGCAGCAGCAGCAACGCUCCGCAGGAAGCUGGAGCCAGAAUUUCAGAGAGUUGGCUUCUUUUUCCCGGGGUUGCUGACCGGAUAGGCUGAGCCUGGAGCUGCGGGGCCGUGAGGCCUCUGCCCUGGGAGAGCCUGCCCUGAAGAGAACAGGCCUGCAGCUCUGCUGUGAAAAAGCCUCUUACCUUGGCGCUGAGAUUUAUGGAUCUCAUUUUGCAGACGGAGAGAAUGGAUACAGGGAAGGAAAGUGAUCAGCCAAAGGGUGUCCCGUGGACGACACUCCUCCCCCUGAGGAGCACAAGGGGCCUUUCUUUGGAGCUGGAGCCCAGUAAGCCAAUGCCUGUACUCUGGGCCAAAACUACCACAGAGCUGCCUGACUCCAGUCUACACACCGUGUGUUUGAGGAAGAAUCACGCCUGGCUGCUGCUCCUGAAAAAACAAGUUUUGCCCCCAACAGAGCAGAUCAUCACCUUCUGACUUUCCUCCUAUGGGAUACAGUUCAUGAAAGCAG
rnacentral:lncRNA from 1 species